rnacentral:rRNA from 1 species
AGUGAACGCUGGCGGUAGGCCUAACACAUGCAAGUUGAACGGCAGCACAGUAAGAGCUUGCUCUUACGGGUGGCGAGUGGCGGACGGGUGAGGAAUACAUCGGAAUCUACUUUUUCGUGGGGGAUAACGUAGGGAAUCUUACGCUAAUACCGCAUACGACCUACGGGUGAAAGCAGGGGAUCUUCGGACCUUGCGCGAUUGAAUGAGCCGAUGUCGGAUUAGCUAGUUGGCGGGGUAAAGGCCCACCAAGGCGACGAUCCGUAGCUGGUCUGAGAGGAUGAUCAGCCACACUGGAACUGAGACACGGUCCAGACUCCUACGGGAGGCAGCAGUGGGGAAUAUUGGACAAUGGGCGCAAGCCUGAUCCAGCCAUACCGCGUGGGUGAAGAAGGCCUUCGGGUUGUAAAGCCCUUUUGUUGGGAAAGAAAAGCAGCAGGUUAAUACCCCGCUGUUCUGACGGUACCCAAAGAAUAAGCACCGGCUAACUUCGUG